UAUUGUUGGUGUUCUUAACUCAAGAGAAAUAUUUUCAAGUAUUUAUUUAUUAAAUUUUGAAAACCCGGCUAAGUGAAUCAUAGAAUGUUAAGCACUACACCAUGACUUAAGAUUAGAUACAAGGAGACCUAUUGAGAAUAGAUUUCUUGUAGGCUUCGAGCAUCAGAAGGAUUAACACUGCUAUUCCGAUUCAGAGAUAAGGUUAAACGACAGGCUUUGCCUAUACAGGUUGAGCAGCUGAUGGAAUGGAAUGAUGUUGAGCGGGUGUUCCUUUGACAUUUCAAGAAAUGUAACCUUGAGUAUACAUCUUCAUAUGUAUAUCUCACACGUUUUCCGCUGCAAAACACUUUGAUUAGGAUAACUCUAUGUUAUGAAGUUGUUACACGUGUUAUUGGGUAACCCACCUUAAUCAGUUCUCUUUUAUGUGUAUGUUUUAUAAGUAUCCAAAUGAUCAUAUAUGAUCCUAGCUUUUUAUCUAUAAGUGACAUUUUCAUAUACUUUAAUGUUAAGUAAUUGUCCAUAUCC